CGGGGGGAGCAAGCGUUGUUCGGAUUUACUGGGCGUAAAGGGCGCGUAGGCGGCCACAACAAGUCACUUGUGAAAUCUCCGGGCUUAACCCGGUAGCGGCCAAGUGAUACUGUUGGGCUAGAGUGCGGAAGGGGCAACUGGAAUUCUCGGUGUAGCGGUGAAAUGCGUAGAUAUCGAGAGGAACACCUGCGGCGAAGGCGGGUUGCUGGGCCGACACUGACGCUGAGGCGCGAAAGCUAGGGGGAGCGAACGGGAUUAGAUACCCCGGUAGUCCUAGCCUUAAACGAUGGAUGCUUGGUGUCUGGGGUGAUAAAGUCCCCGGGUGCCGUCGCUAACGCUUUUAGCAUCCCGCCUGGGGAGUACGGUCGCAAGACUG
rnacentral:rRNA from 1 species